rnacentral:snRNA from 2 species
GUGUUCACUUCAGCAGCACAUAUAUUAAAACUGGAAUGAAAUAGGGAAGAUUAGCAUGGCCCCUGUGCAAAGAUGACAUGCAAAUUUGUGAAGUGUUCUAUAUUUUU